UGUAGCCAUUGAUCGUAAAGGUAAGCCUUUCUCAAUAGUACUUGCAGACUUGAUGUAUCUCCAACCAUUAACAUGUACUAUGAUUUCUCUUUUUUUUUUUGCUAGGUAUACUAUGAUUUCUCGUUGUAUGUAGAUCUCACUUGAGGUGAAGACAGAGUGAAGAAAGAAAAAUGACUACACUUUUUCUUACAUUCGAAUAUCCAUGUAUCAAGUGUCCUCUUUAAUUAAUAUUUUCAUAACUAAUGGUUUAAUUCAAUGACGGACCUACAGCUGGGCUAAAGGGGGCUUUAACCCGGACUAACCCAUUCAUGGCCGUGGGACCUUUUGAAUGCAUAUGUGGGUUUUCAAAAAACUAUCACCAACAUCCAGCUUCUUCAUAAUCCAGGCACAUAAACCAGACUCUAAACUUCUGCCUUAGGGGGUCAAGGUUGCAGAUUUUCCUCUAGGGUUCUGCUACUAAUCAUGUUGGUAACGACCCAUUUGAGGCCAGACUCUAAUCUGGUAGCUGUGUUAAUGCCUUACUGGUAACACUCUUUUGGAAUCAUGUGCAUUGACAGUGAUUAA